GUUAUGUUUGCGAUCUCUGCCUUGGUACCUAAGGAGGAAGAGGAGGAGGAGGAGGGUGUGUUACUGAAUGGUGGCUAAAGCCUCCUCGGGACGGCGCUGAGGUGAAACAGGCUGAACCCGACUGAUGUGGCUCCUCUCUCGGUUGGACCCAGUGCCCUAAGCAGCCGAUGAGAGACCCCCGGCCGCUCGGCUCGCAGGUAUCUUUUUAGUGCUGAAAUGGACACACUAAUUGUGAACCACGUGGUAAGGAGCUCCUUCUAAAAUAUGCAGUAGCACAUUUACUGGAAUUUAACAGGCUGUGUACUUUAAAGCCUCUCCUGCCUGUAAUCCUGUGAACAAACCUUGCAAGUCACAGUGCCAGCUCGAGAUGCAGCACAGCACAGAACUGCAGCCCUGGAACAGCCCCCACCAUGGCAAGGGACAGAAGGGAGACGCUGACCUGCAACGGGACCAGAGACCUCGCUACCAGGAUUUGCUCACGGUUUUGCUUCUGGCAACUCGCAUUUCCAUUUUUCUCAAAGCUUCUACAUCUGUGUCAUCAGACAAAGCCCCACGAGUGGUGGCAGAGCAAACUGUAGCCUUCAUUUUCAAGUUCGAAGAGAAAAAAUUAUUUACAUGUUUAAAUCCCAGAACUGGCUGUCCAGAGGUCACUCUUUGUUGGCCACUGCUAUGAACCAUUAAGGCUUCCCAAAACUCAAAAAGAAAUGGGACAUAGUCAGGGGCAGAAAAAUCUCAUUGUUUAAAAUUUCCUUAAAUUCCAUUUCAUUGUAUUAUAUGAUUUUUGUCCUAUCAGAGGUAUAUGAAAGAUGGGAUGUUUCUAUCAUUGCUUGCAUGAAUGACUACUCAAAUUGACUGUCAGAGCUUGCAGGACCAAUCUUUGACCCUUCUUAGGUUUGUUUUAAACUGAAGGAAAUUAUCUUUUAAUUGAUUAGGACUUUAGGCUAUUUUUAAAGGAAAAUUAUUGAUUUGUGCAAUGAAUUUUACUGCUUAAUCAGCCUUCCACCUCAGUAUUUAUAUAUAUUUUUGGUUACAAAUUUAGAUAAAUGUUUAACUAUGUGUUUUAAUGCUGGCCUGCCUUUUUUUUUUCCCUUUCCUGUUUAAGACAGGUUUUUCUGAAUCAAACCCUUGAAUUUAGUGACAAUUAGUACAAUUUCCAGACACAUCAGCAAGAGUUUCUGUACUAAGUGUGGGAAUGUAAAUGUUAAGAGGAAGCACAAGUAAUGACUUUUUUUCCAUUCACAAAGGAAGCACUAAGACAUUAAGGUUACUCAACAGAAAUUAAUAAAUGCAGCCUGGGAAGUUAUUAUUUUUCCAAACUGUGAAAAGAUCUCUGAAAUAAUAAAGAUAAAAUACAACAAAAA